ensembl:scaRNA
GGUCGAUGAUGAUUGGUGAAAGGUCUGAUUGCACUUGAUGUCACAGUCCCUUCGCUGCCCUCAACUCCCAGCAGCCCAUUUUUUCUGCCUGUCACAUUUAAGUCAUGUGUGUGGGGUAAUGGCGCAGCUGAUAAUUUGGGAUUCUGUCAGCGUGUGUUUCUGCAAGUGAAUGGUUCACAGCUGACAACUGUCCAACAGCACCAGCUCUCAGGAGAUUGAUGAGCGGCAGCCAUGGGUGUGAUGGUGCAUGAUCUGAAGUUUUCAAUCUGAGACC